ensembl:misc_RNA 7SK 7SK RNA
GGAUGUGAAGGUGAUCUGGCUGCAACAUCUGUCACCCCAUUGAUCGCCAGGGUUGAUUCCGCUGAUCUGGCUGGCUAGGCAGGUGUCCCCUUCCUUCCUCACUGCUCCAUGUGUGUCCCUCCCGAAGCUGCGUGCUCGGUGGAAGAGGACGACCUUCCCCAAUAGAAGAAGACCGUUCUUCGGUCAAGGGUAUACAAGUAGCUGCGCUCCCCUGCCAGAACCUCCAAAGAAGUUCUCAAGGUCCAUUUGUAGGAGAACAUAGGGUAGUCAAGCUUCCAAGACUCUAGACAUAUCCAAAUGAGGCACUGCACAUGGCAGUCUGCCUUUCUUA